ensembl:rRNA 5S_rRNA 5S ribosomal RNA
GUCUAUGGCCAUACCACUCUGAUCACUCCCAAUCUCAUAUGAUCUCAGAAGCUAAGCAGGGUGAAGCCUGUUAGUACUUGGGUGGGAGAAAUAAUUCACAUUAAUAUCAAUCAAUGGCUGUAGAAU